rnacentral:rRNA from 1 species
UACGAAGGGGGCUAGCGUUGCUCGGAAUCACUGGGCGUAAAGGGUGCGUAGGCGGGUCUUUAAGUCAGGGGUGAAAUCCUGGAGCUCAACUCCAGAACUGCCUUCGAUACUGGAGAGCUCGAGUCCGGGAGAGGUGAGUGGAACUGCGAGUGUAGAGGUGAAAUUCGUAGAUAUUCGCAAGAACACCAGUGGCGAAGGCGGCUCACUGGCCCGGUACUGACGCUGAGGUGCGAAAGCGUGGGGAGCAAACAGGG